rnacentral:lncRNA from 1 species
CGACUCGCCGCCCCACUGAGUCGACUCGCCGCGGAAUCGGUGGUACCCGAGGAACUAGGAGUCCGGAGAAACGAACGGGUUGAAAUGGUGGAAAUUCGGGUUCAGCGUCGAGGUGACCGGAUGGAACGUCUUCGUGUCGACGUCGAAGACCUCCACGUGUCGGAAAUUCGUGUUGCGGCGGAGAGUGGCGACGAUUAUUCUUUUUCCGUCUGUGCAUGGCGGCCGGAGUGAAGCAGUGGAGACCCGAUGGAGUGACCCGGAGGGAGUCAACGGGGAUGCGGGGGACUCAAAAUCUUGGGGGAAAUCAAUUCGGAAAGUAGAUGAUGGAGUCGCCGGACGAGGCGGACAACCCGCCGCUCUCACAGACCACCACACGCUUUCCGGGUUGUGAAGCUCGGAAGACGACGAUGUCAGUAUUGAGCUGGUGAAACUCGUCGUCCCAGGGACGAGAGCCGUAAGAAGCGACGGCGACGAACUCGCCGAGAGAGAAACGGCCGGACUGUAAUCGACGGACCCGGGUGGAGUCAAUCGGG